UUUGAGGUGUUACAGCUGCCCCUAUUCAAUCCACUGUGAACCUGUCGAUAUGAACAGCCUCGGCUUUCAGAUGAUCGGGGUGAAGAGUGGUUGAAUACCAAGAACAGACGAACAAUUUGCGCUCCGCUGGGGAUUAUUAUUAUUUUUGCUUUUCUUGAACCCCAAAUUUUUCUGAUUUUUUUUCUUUUUUUUCGCGCGGAUGAUCCCUGAUCGCCGCAUUUGGACCCCGAUAACUUCAUGUCAAUCUUGCUGCCAAACAAUGAAC
rnacentral:lncRNA from 1 species